rnacentral:rRNA from 1 species
UGGGGAAUAUUGGACAAUGGGGGAAACCCUGAUCCAGCCAUGCCGCGUGAGUGAUGAAGGCCUUAGGGUUGUAAAGCUCUUUCGGCGGGGAAGAUAAUGACGGUACCCGCAGAAGAAGCCCCGGCUAACUUCGUGCCAGCAGCCGCGGUAAUACGAAGGGGGUUAGCGUUGCUCGGAAUCACUGGGCGUAAAGCGCACGUAGGCGGAUUGUUAAGUCAGGGGUGAAAUCCUGGAGCUCAACUCCAGAACUGCCCUUGAUACUGGCGAUCUUGAGUCCGGGAGAGGUGAGUGGAAUUGCGAGUGUAGAGGUGAAAUUCGUAGAUAUUCGCAAGAACACCAGUGGCGAAGGCGGCUCACUGGCCCGGUACUGACGCUGAGGUGCGAAAGCGUGGGGAGCAAACA